CGAUAGAUCAAUUUAAUAACUCACUGAAAAGCACUUCUUUGUUCGUAUCACCACCAGAUUUCACAACACUUUACCUCAUGACUAAUUUUGUAGGAGCCAAGAUUAAAGCUGCUAGGCACCUGAAUUCCCAUUCAUAAAGUUUCAUAGGCAUAUGUGACAGUCUAAUUCUGCUAGCAUUAGACAGUAAACAUGUCAAGAUCCUGCCUAAACUCCAGAUUGAUCAAUAAAAUAGAUAUUGCCAGAACUUUUUUACCUGGCCUGAUACACAGCAGAGGUAUAUCAAACAAUUGCUGUCUCAACCAAUCUAAAUCACCAUACAUUUAAAUGAAUAAUUCAGUGAUCAGUGAGCUGUGAGGGAUCUUAUGUUUGACUCAUUUUCCAACAGAACCCCGCACCUCUCUGGUGAGUGCCAUUGACGACAUGUUCCAGGGUGGGAGAUCUUAGAUUCCUUUGUCUCACAUUCUAGGGCCAAAAGGAGAGCAGAACGACUCGGGAGCUUGUUAGCUAGGGCACUUAUGUAAAGCAUGGGAUUGCUCCCUUCUCAAGUGAUCAUACUGGGAUUCUGGCCUCAGAAACAUUCAAUUUUGAGCAUAAAAAUUAUUAUUCAAGGGGUUUCAGCAGGACCAAAUGGAUUUGGGAGAAGAGGUGAGAAAAUUUUAGUUCUGAUUUCAAGAUGACAUAAUAGAAAGAGACACCUAUAUUCUGUAUACUGACAGUAUUGCAAGAACUUUCUCCCCUAAAGCAGAAUAUGAAGGAAAGCAUUAUCCACUCCAAGCUUCCAGAAGCAUCUUCUUGCACUGCUGUGGGAAUUUAUCCAUCCAUGUACUGUUCCUUUAGAAGGACAAGCCCUCCACGUUUUUGGAGAGGUAGUUUACAAUCACCUCUAUUAAGCAGGUAAAUUCCAUUUAUAUUUAUCAUGAGUCAAUAGAGUGGAAUAGCUUUUUUCAUUGCUUUGGUUUACCUUUUUACUUCGCUUGAUUUUAUUCUCCAGUUAUACUGUUUACUAAGGACCCUAGUUUUGUUACGUAUUCAUUCUUUUCUCUAGUAAAUUUAAUUCCAUUCAGUUUUAUAUUUUUCUAUUCUCAUGUUCUACCUGCUUGUAGAUACUUGGAUACCAAAAUACUUUGCCAUGGUAUCUUCAUGAACGGACAAAUUCUAAAAUCAGUUUUAUUCUAAUGAAUGUACUCUUCUACCAGCUCUGUGAGUGAUAACCAUGCCGUAAGUUUAGCUAUG
rnacentral:lncRNA from 1 species